CUCGGGUUCCGACAGGCGCGGCUCUCUGCGCCUGCCCUGCAUCCAACUUAGCCCAACCAGCCAGGGGCCGCCGCCCAUCGCCCCCAGCCCCAGGGAGAGCGGGCAAGGCCGUGGGGCUGCUUGUGGAAGGGCGGGGCGCCUGCUCCCAGACAGUUCCUGAAAGAAGGAUCAAAUGCCAAGAACUCCCACAUGAAGAGGACCUUCCUAGAUCUGUAACUGGGAUUAGCCACUUCUUGAAUUCAGCAAGAAGUUUCAGCUAACUCUCAGGAUAAAGCCAAAACAUGCCUGUGACUGUCCCCCAGGUCAGGCAGAGGAGCACUUGUUACUAGAAAGAAAGCUUACUUCUUUGUUAUUCAAACACACACCCACACAUAUCCUCUCCAUCACUAAUGAAAAGUCUCAACAGAUGGAAAGCCUAAGCUCCCAAACCUGCAGGCUGAGAUGAUGCACUUCACUCAAGGGCAAGUCAGCUGGUCCAGACUGGGGGAGGAGAAGGGAGAAGUAGCUAGUAUAGGUAAUCACUAUCUCUUAAUACUUCUUACAGAUAGAAAUUCGAAAAAUCUUGUUCAACAAGGUUAGCAGCCUCUGGAGCCUUGGAAACCAAUUUGGCUGAAGUGUCUCUGAUAGGGACUGGGCUUCAGGCUGCACCAAGGGGAACAUACUUGUUAUGUAUUCUCUUUCUCUUUCUCUCAUUUGAAAUCUUGUACAAAGAAAUGGUAUAAAUGGAUGGUUAGCUUAAUGGUUCCAUCAGAGGUGGAUUUUUCUCUGUCAGUUCCCUGGAUGAGGCUGAGGUCUGAAAGCCAAAAAACAGAGUAUGUUCCUAAUCACUCUUUCUUACCUCCUUACCAAUGGCCUGGAGAGUAAUCCUGGCCAAGUUCCUCUGCAACUUCCCCAAACUCCUGAAUAGAUCAGUAAGGUCUGGACACACCA